rnacentral:rRNA from 1 species
UCUUUUAAUUGAAGGCUCGUAUGAAUGGUCGGACAAAAAGUAAGCUGUCUUCAACUGUAAAAAUUGAAUUUGACUUUUAAGUGAAAAGGCUUAAAUAGUACAAAGUGACGAUAAGACCCUAUAAAGCUUUAUAGUGAAACUUUUUAUUAUAAAUUAUUGAAUUGUAUAACUUAAUUUAAAGUGAAACUUUUUCGUUGGGGCGACGAAAAUAUAAUAAAAUAACUGUUUUUGUUUAAAUAAUACAAGCAUAUUUGAUUUUAAUGAAUGAUCCUUUAUUAAAGAUUAAAAGAUUAAGUUACUUUAGGGAUAACAGCGUAAUCUUCUUUGAGAGUUCAUAUCGACAAGAAGGGUUGCGACCUCGAUGUUGAAUUAAGGUUCCUGUGUGGUGUAGCAGCUGCGAUUGGAGGUCUGUUCGACCUUUAAAUCCUUACAUGAUUU